rnacentral:lncRNA from 1 species
CACUAUGUAAAAUAAUAGGGCUACAAGUUUAGUGUUUACAAUAUAUGUGGCUCACUGAAUUUUCUCUCUAGGAGAAUUUCUCUCUGCUCUCUCUUUCCUCUUUCUUCCUUCUCUUCCUUUCUCUUUUUUUCUUCUCUUCUUCUUUCCGUUUCUCUUCUUAUUUAUAGGCUGAAAUAAUCACUAUUCAUCACUAUUCAUCACUGUUCACCCGUGACAGACAAACUCUAUCAAAGCCACCAAAUGAACAGUAAUGAACAGUAAUGAAUAGUUAGUGGGCUCCACAUGUUUAUUCUUUUAUUCUUUUACAACACUCCCCCUUGGAGACCACUAAUGAUAUGUCGGUUGUAUC